GUGCCAGCCGCCGCGGUAAUACCGGCAGCCCAAGUGAUGGCCACUCUUAUUGGGCCUAAAGCGUCCGUAGCCGGCCUCGCAAGUCCGUCGGGACAUCCAGUCGCUCAACUACUGGGCGUCCGGCAGAAACUACACGGCUUGGGACCGGAAGGCUCGAGGGGUACGUCCGGGGUAGGAGUGAAAUCCCGUAAUCCCGCACGGACCACCGAUGGCGAAAGCACCUCGAGAAGACGGAUCCGACGGUGAGGGACGAAAGCCAGGGUCUCGAACCGGAUUAGAUACCCCGGUAGUCC
rnacentral:rRNA from 1 species